GUUGUGAUUGGCAGGUGCCGGUGCCAGUGACUGGGUGAAACGAAAGCUAAAUCAACAUAUUCGCAAUAAACAUAGGAAAUUUGAAAGUCAGGAUCCAGCCCAACUCUGUGUAUCAAACAUACCUGAAUCGCAAUAUUUGGAGGAGGACAAUCCAUUGAGAAGAACAGCCUCAGAGCCGAUUCUGAAGCUGCGACCGAAGAGAAGUGCGUCGGGAAGACAGAACCCACUGCUGCGUAAAACCAGUGCGCCCCCUGCUGUCAGAGCAUCUGACUCUAUGGGGGGAUCCUCCAGUUCUACUCCAGUAUCCUUAAGAAGUUCAUCAGCAGAAAAAAAAAUGAGCCAUCAAGAGCCACAAACCUAUAGCACAUCAUCACCACAACAGUAUGAAUCUCCUGUACACACUGGUGUUCAGAACACCAUGCUCUGGACUAGAUAUGAACAGCCGGUCUUUGCCUUGCAUUCACCUGUUCUUACAG
ensembl:lncRNA